rnacentral:rRNA from 1 species
UACAGAGGGGGGCAAGCGUUUAUUCGGAAUUACUGGGCGUAAAGCGCGCGCAGGCGGUCCUUUAAGUCUGAUGUGAAAGCCCACGGCUCAACCGUGGAGGGUCAUUGGAAACUGGGGGACUUGAGUGCAGAAGAGGAAAGCGGAAUUCCACGUGUAGCGGUGAAAUGCGUAGAGAUGUGGAGGAACACCAGUGGCGAAGGCGCUUUCUGGUCUGUAACUGACGCUGAGGCGCGAAAGCGUGGGGAGCAAACAGG